UACAGAGGUCUCAAGCGUUGUUCGGAUUCAUUGGGCGUAAAGGGUGCGUAGGUGGCGUGGUAAGUCGGGUGUGAAAUCCCGGGGCUCAACCCCGGGACUGCAUUCGAUACUGCCGUGCUUGAGGACUGGAGAGGAGACUGGAAUUUACGGUGUAGCAGUGAAAUGCGUAGAGAUCGUAAGGAAGACCAGUGGCGAAGGCGGGUCUCUGGACAGUUCCUGACACUGAGGCACGAAGGCCAGGGGAGCAAACGGG
rnacentral:rRNA from 1 species